GCCUCAGGUUUUGUGUCAAAGCUAUUUGUACAGUCAAUCACAAAGCUCUUUCCCGUUUUGGAUGUGUUUUGUGUGUUUUUCGCGACAUUCACGCUGAAAACCAAUGCUGCCGCUCAGUCUUUUGCCUCUCAGUGGACGUGACCGCAGCCGUAACGGUCGACUGUGACGUCACUUGCAUACCCUCUAUUUAUCCUUUGAUGAAACUUCCUACUCCUCGUGGAGAGCGCAGUUCAUGGUUGCAUAGCAACGACAGACGCCACGGGAGCACAAGCGCUUUGGAAAGAAGGAGAAAGCAGUGCGGCCGCGCUUUCCACACUUUUUUAGACACGCGACUAAUCUGGAUGACCUUAAAAACAGAAUCACGGCAGCAGUGACUUCAGUGGAAUCAGACACUCAGCAGGUGGAGGGCAUGUAGAGCAUUUAUAAAAUGGCUCAUAUCAAGAAGAAUAGGUAUAAUGGAUCCAUUGGCAAAGCCAGAAGUUGACAUGUUCAGCCGCUCAAACAAACACCAAAUUGUAGUCCCCCUUAAGUGGCGCAGUGGUGAUACUUCAUGGAUCGC